rnacentral:rRNA from 1 species
UACGGAGGGUGCCAGCGUUAUCCGGAUUCACUGGGUUUAAAGGGUGCGUAGGUGGGUUAGUAAGUCAGUGGUGAAAUCUCCGAGCUUAACUUGGAAACUGCCAUUGAUACUAUUAAUCUUGAAUACCGUGGAGGUCAGCGGAAUAUGUCAUGUAGCGGUGAAAUGCUUAGAUAUGACAUAGAACACCAAUUGCGAAGGCAGCUGGCUACACGAAUAUUGACACUGAGGCACGAAAGCGUGGGGAUCAAACAGG